CCAACGAGAAUGCAGAAGUCCACUAAGACCGGGAAUGGGUGGUGGAAGACCCACCAGUUCUUGGGGGCCUACUGCGAGCCAGGCACUGCACCAGGUGGCUCACAUCCAUUAGCGUCAAUCCCUGUCUACAGGAAUAGAUUUACAGAGGAGAAAACUCAGGCCCAGGACCACAAGGCAUGUGAGUGAGAACUGGCGUCUGAGCCCAGGUGGGACUUGAGCAAGAGGAGAAAGGUGAAGAGAGCUCUAGAAUACUGGCCCCGAGCUAACAUCCGUGCCCAUCUUCCUCUACUUUAUAUGUGGGAGCAUAUAAAGCCACAGCAUGGUGUGCCAAGUGGUGCCAUGUCCGCACCCGGGAUCUGAAUCGACGAACCCCAGGCCACUGAAGCAGAACGUGCGCAUUUAACCACUGUGCCACGGGGCCCACCCCAAGGUAAGUGUCGUUUUGAUGAUCAUAACAAGAUGUCACCAUUGGGCAUCCCCAGAAAGAGGUGAAUGAGCGGGUGAGGAAGGGAGCCCAGAACAGGGAGCCACUGCUUCUGAGUCCUAGGACUAACUCAGUUAUCACAUGCUGUGUCUUUAGGGAAGGCACACCCUCUCUGUGCUUCAGAUGCAAUGGGGCCUCCUUUGCCUGCCUUACUCAGCCUGGACAAUGGAGAUGUCAGGACUAGGGGCAGAAGCAAGUGACAAAUGCAUGCCUGCUCCAAGCCCUGGGCACCUCUCUAGAAGUCAAACCCACGCUGGUCCUGGCUGGGCCUGGCCUGCCUCACCUGCCGCCCCUCCUGCUCCAGCUGCCUGGCUGUCCGGAGACCUUUAAGGCUCUGCAGGCCAUCAUGUGAAGGGGCUGACCUCCGACGCUCUGGAUGCCCCCAGCUCCCAAGGACUCUGCCAUUGGAGUUGCCCCAUGGCUGCCACUGUGCCACCUCCUUUCCCAGUCUGUACAGAAAUGCCUUCCCAGCGUCCAGCUGUUGCAGAGGCUCCACAGCCCUAGGCUGGGUCCCCAAAUGACGACAUCUUUCAGUCCUGUCACUCAGCCCUCUCCUUUCCGGCGGGCUGUGCUGCAGCUGAGGCUGGUGAAAAGGCAGCCUCAUUCCCUGCCGACAACCUCUGCUCCCUUCCCACUUUUAAUCUGAUGGCUGUCGGAUCCACUGCAGGGCUGUGGGGACACCAGAUUGCCUGGAAGAGAACACACACGCUCAGCUGUACACCCUGUUUCACACUGAUUUAGCCACGGGUGCAGAUGAAUUGGAGGCGAGGCGGGCACAGGGCAAGAGCAGAUGCCGCAGCUCCUGGCCUGCUUCUCCCUUUCUAUGGGACCUCGCGGUUGUUGCCACCUUCUCUGAGCAGGCAGGAUCCUUCUGGAGCAGAGAAAAAGGCUGAGUUUCUGCUAUGACACAAAGUCUUUUAUUCAUUUAUUUAUUUAUUUUAAAUUGAGAUAUAAUUGACGUUAUAUUAUUUCUGGUGUACAACGUGAUUCUAUAUUUGUAUAUAUUGAGAAACGAUCACCACGAUAAGUCUAGUUAACAUCCAUCGCCAUACGUAGUUACAAAAAUUUUUUUUAUUGUGAUGAGAACUUUUAGGAUCUAUUGUCACAGCAACUUUCAAAUAUGCAGCACAGUGUCAUCAGCUAGAGUCACCGCGCUGCACAUUCCGUCCCAGGACUUAUUUUAUAGUUGGAAGUUUGUAUUUUUUAACCUUCAUCACCUGUUUUGCUCCCUCUUCCCCCGCCUCUGGAGACCACCAGUCUGUUCUCUGUAUCCAUGAACUCAGUUUUUGUGUGUGUUUUUUGGGUUUUCUUUGAUUCCACAUACAAGUGAGAUCACACGGUAUUUAUCUUUCUGUGUCUGACUUAUUUCACGUAGCAUAAUGCCCUCAAGGCCAUCUAUGUUCUUGCAAAUGGCAAGAUUUCACUCUUUUUUACGACUGAAUAAUAUUCCAUUGUAUAUAUACGCCACGUUUUCUUUAUCCAUUCAUCCAUCGAUGGACACUUAGGUUGAUUCCCUAUCUUGGCUAUUGUAAAUAAUGCUGCAAUGAACAUGGGGGUGCAUAUAUCUUUUCAAGUUAAUGUUUUCAUUUUCUUCACAUAAACACCCAGAAGUGGAAUUGCUGGAUGAUAUGAGAGUUCUAGUUUUAGUUUUUUGAGGAACCACCAUACUGUUUUCCAUAGUGGCUGCACCAAUUUACAUUCCCACCAACAGUGCACAAGGGUUUCCUUUUCUCUCUGUCCCUGCCAACACUUAUUAGCUCUUGUCUUCUGCAUGACAGCCAUUCUAACAGGUGUGAGGUGACAUCUCAUUGUGGUUUCGAUUUGCAUUUCCCUGAUGACUUGUGAUGUUGUUUCAAGCCAUGGCUUGCAAGCCCCACUUACCCAAAACAAAAAAUAAUUCCACUGUUAGUGUUGCCAUUUUUACUUAGAAACUGGUGAUUUCCAAUUAUUGUAAUGUUUUAUCUCAGUGUUUUACAAACUGUGAUCUUUUCAUGCACCUGUUGGCCUUCCGUAUGUCUUCUUUAGAAAAAUGUCUAUUCAGAUCCUCUGCCCAUUUUUUAAUAGGAUUUUUUUCCUGCUAUUUAGUUGUAUGAGUUCUUUACAUAUUUUACUUAUUAACUCCUUAUCAGAUACAUGAUUGGCAAAUAUUUUCUCCCAUUCGGUAGGUUGCCUUUUCAUUUUGUUGAUGAUUUCCUUUGCUGUGCAGAAGCUUUUUAGUUUGAUGUCUCCUACUUAUUUAUUUUUGCUUUUGUUGCCUUUGCUUUUGAGUCAAAUUAAAAAAAUCAUCUCCAAGACUGAUGUCAAGGAGCUUACAACUUAUGUUUUCUUCUAGCAGUUUUAUGGUUGUAGGUCUUCUGUUGAAAUCUUUAAUCCAUUUUGAGUUAAUUUUUGUGCAUGAUGUAAGAGUUUGUGUAUGGUCCAGUUUCAUUCUUUUGCAUGUGGCUGUCCAGUUUCCCCAACACCAUUUAUUACAUAAACUGUCCUUUCCCCACCGUAUAUCCUUGGCUCCUUUGUCUUCUUUUCUGAUACAUGUAUUUAAUGCUAUAAAUUUCCCUCUAAGCACUGCUUUUGCUACAUCCCACAAAUUUUGAUAAGUUGUAUUUUCAUUUUUGUUUAGCUCGUAAUAUUUUUGAGGGGCUGGCCCGGUGGUACAGCAGUUAAGUUUUCACAUUCCACUUUGGCGGCCUGGGGUUCGCAGGUUCGGAUCCCGGGUGCGGACAUGGCACCACUUGGCAAGCCAUGCUGUGGCAGGCGUCCCACAUAUAAAAUAG
ensembl:lncRNA